rnacentral:piRNA from 1 species
UGAAAUGUAUGUCUUUUAAAGGAGUGU